rnacentral:lncRNA from 7 species
GGUCAUUCAUGCCACGCCUGCUGUGGAGGACCCCUGGCAGCCAGAGCUUUGGGUUAUACCUGUUUCUUCCCUUCCUGUAUCAUGGGCAACUAAAUAAGCUCUAUUUGUUUUCCAGCAAAUGCUUUUCUUAUGAAAAAGAAAAAUCUUGUUGUCAUAUAUGUCAGUGGUGAAGAGACCUUAUGCAGCUAUUUUGACUAUACACGCAGUAAAAAGGUAGACUUUGGAUGCAGACUGUAGCCAUCUCUCCAGCCUUGUCUUUGGCUCCAGAACCUGCUGCUCCUGACAGGAUUAUCUGCUUGGAGCCUGGACUUGAUUUACUUUUGAGUCUAUGGCAGCUGAUGGGCCCUGUUACCAGCACCCAGCUAUGCAUGCUAUGUUGACAUCUUGUGGGACAGCACCCUGUUGAGAAACUAUGCACCACUGACUGACAUCAGUAAGGAGGAUUCUACAUGGCCUGUUUCUCUGCUCCCAGAACAUGCAGAGAAACAUAAAUCCUAACAGAUCCAGGGUCAUUGCACAGCAAGGAGUGCUCAAAAGCUCUCACUUUUUAUCUUCUUGAUAUUUUCUGGUUUACUGUGUUCAAGUUCAGUUGUGAGGUAUGUACUUUAAAGCUUAACAAAUAUAUACCAGUGAAACAGAUAAUGAAAUCAAAAUAGGACUGAAGUCUUGCUUUUGGAAUAAAUCUUUUAAUUGUAAGUAGGUUUUAGAAAUUAAUUAAAGUACUUACCCGGGUUCACAGAUGUAUACUGUCCCUGUGUUGUUAGGAGUUAGACAAGCAAGUGUUUUUUGCUGAGCAAAAGUUUAGACAACUCUAUAAAUUAUUACUAAAUAAUUAGUAGUGUUUGUUUACCACUAUAAGAAGGUUAAAAAAGGGAAUAAUGAACCCAAAGAUGACACCUAUAAGUAUUUCACUAUUUUUAGACAUAUCUGAUAGAGAAACAACAACAAAAACCAACAUCAAGUCCAAGCAGUUCUAAUACCAUCACUCAAUAUUGCCAAAAUUUAAAGAAGCAUAUGAUAUGACUACAAGGUGUGUGAGAAAAGAAAUGAACAAAAUGCACACUGUUAAAAAGAAUGAAGAUUUCAGAAGACCAAAUGAAAUAAAUUAAUCCUGAAUAUUUACUCUGUAAUCACUAGGUAGUAGCAGUGUCUGAUCAGAGUAUAUUUCCAGAUGACUUCUGGAAUUGCUUGAUUUGGGUUAUGAAAAAUGUGGUCUUCAGUUAAUCAGUUGUGUUUUAAACUGUGAUUCAGUCCUUACCCAGUUGCCAAGUGAUAAACAUAGCAGUGUAAAUAAAUACUUUGAUGUCAUUUUUAUCUGCAAAUGGUUUAGUUCAGAGAUCAAUUAUUAGAUUUGUGCUUGAUAUCUUGAGAAAUAUCCCUAUGCUCUAUAAGCUACAGAUAUAAUUCUGGCAACUCUAGAAUUUGUAAUACUUCAAAGAGAUCCUUGGUUGACAUAGCAAGUAUCAGCACAACUGUAUUCUGUAAUAUAAUGGGAAGGGUAGGAAAGAGAAAGAUAUUAUUUCUGGAUAAUAGAAAAUUUCUGAACAACCUAGAAGGCCCUGUUUGUAUUGUGGUAAGAGAAACCCCUGUAAGACACAGCUGUUCAUAUUAUUUCUUGUCCUUGUGUCUAAGUCACUAGAAAACUGUUGACGAUAGAUGACAAUAUUUUACUUCUAGACAUAAAUCCUUAAUUGAUGACAAUCUAGGAUAUGGUUUAAGUUUUCAUGAUUGGUAUGGUAAUAAUAAAAUAUGUCAUUUCUAGGGAAAUGGAGGUGAUGAAACAUUUAUGAAAAAUAGUGAUCAAAGUGUAUUUCAGACUCAUGAGCUAUACAUUCUUUUAUUCCAUACAUAUCAGGUCAUAUCAGGUAUGACAUUUUAGACCAAUGAAUGUUCCUUUUUUUUGGGUAACGUAUGGGUGGUACUUGACAUUAUAGCAUUAUUGCUAGAGUACAGAGUAAUUAAGGAAGGAAAAUGAAGGAAAAGCUAAAUGAUGUGUUGAAUAAUGUUGCAGGGACUUUGCCUACACACAGUGCAUAUAUAUAUAUAUAUUCUUUUUUUUUUUUUUAAAAAAAAGGUCUUACGUAUACCAAUGUAGAACUGGAUAGUUCAUAAAUAUAAUCUAUACAAAUAUUGUAUUUCUCUUGCUUACUUUGGAAUCAAUAAAUUAGCAAUGUAUUUCCAAAGGUGGUAAAGAGAGAGAAAACAGUUUAACAACACCAUAUGGAAGAAAACCUAUUACUCAUUGCCAGCUUAUUGAGUUUCUAAAUUUUUCAUCUACAAAUUAUGUUCAAUAUCAAAUUUAAUUUUAAAUUUAUCCCUUCUAGGAAACAACACUUUCUGAUUGAAUGAACUUCUGUAACUGUACUCUAUGCUCUCAGUAUUUUCAGUUGCAAACCCUGCCCUUGUGUAUAAUUGAAAGAUAUAUUCCACUAUGUAGUAUGUAGU